CCGAAGCUAAUACAAGUCUUUUUCUUAUACCCAAAACCCUAAAUAACAAUAACCCAGUACCACCACCAGCAAGUGAAUCAACUCAAACCUCGGGAAUCCCCUUGAUUGGAGCGUGCAAGACCUCUUUCACAAUUUCUGAUACGGAGGUAAUAGUUGCUUGCUAAAUACAUCAAAGCUGAAAAGGAAUUGGAAUCAACGACGUUUUGAUCUGAAUCAGGGGUUACAUUGAUAGUUAUAGGUAACUUUUAGCGGUGCAUUUGUGUAGAAGCUCUUGAUUAUUUUAGAUUGAUUGGAGCAGGAAAAAAUGAAGGGAAAUCCAAAAAGCAACAAUACGACAGGCCUGCCACGAAAGCGAUUUUAUAGAGCACGUGCACACAGCAAUCCACUAAGCGAUUCACACUUCCCUGUUCCCACUGCACCUUCCGAAGUUGACUACGCCUCGCACUACCCACACUACUAUCCUUCAGAAGGAGCUUGCGAUGAAAAUGGUGAGUGCAAGGGUGCAAUAUAUAAACCCCAGUCGAAAAAAAUACAAUUUGCUGAUGUUGGUUGUGGUUUUGGGGGUUUACUUAUCAGCCUUUCAACUCUUUUUCCUGAUACACUAAUGAUUGGAAUGGAGAUUCGGGACAAGGUGACAGAGUACGUGAAGGAACGAAUACUGGCUUUAAGAGAAACAAAUCCAGGCCAGUACCAUAAUGUAUCCGUGGUUCGAACAAAUUCCAUGAAAUAUAUUCCGAAUUUCUUCGAGAAAGGGCAGCUGUUGAAGAUGUUUUUCUUGUUCCCAGAUCCUCAUUUCAAGGAGAAGAAUCAUAGACGCCGUGUUAUUAGUACACACUUGCUUGACGAAUAUGCGUACACACUCCAAGUUGGUGGAAUUAUAUAUACAAUUACUGAUGUAGAAGAACUUGGGGAAUGGAUGAAAGAUUGUUUGGCACGUCAUCCUCUUUUUGAAGCAGUUCCGGAGAAAGAACUCGAUGUUGAUCCAGUUGUGAAGCUUUUGAGUUCUGCAACAGAGGAAGGUCAAAAGGUUGCUAGAAAUGGCGGGCAGACUUUUCUAGCAGUUUACAGGCGGAUCGCGCUAUCAGAAGUAGGAAACAGGGUUUAAAUGUUAGGUGUUUUUAUUGGUUUCCAGUAGCUUUCGGUGAAACUAACAGGGAAUGUGAAGAUGGGGUCGAAUCCAAAUGGGUGAUACCUUCACGCAACUGUCCACUUCUCCAAUUAUUGUUAUGCCGAAGAAGGGAAUUUGAUUAUGUAAAGAAAAGGUCGAGAUACUAGAGGCUCCUCAAGAGGGCAACAAAAGCAGAAGACGCCAGAGGUGAAGCACUAAAGAGUAAAGACAACCUUGACGCAAAAUUCCCAAUUGUGGACUGAGGCCUGUUAAUGGAGCUCAGCAGUGCCUUCCUAGAGGUAUUGUGAGAAGUGAGAUCCCUUGUAAACUAAUUAUCUUCACGUAGUCUGAAUGUGUAACAACAAGACCAAGCCUUUAGUCCCAAACAAGUUGGGGUGGGAUAGAAAUGAAACCCAUGUUGGUCUGAGAGUGUAAGAUUAAUCCAUUAUCGAUAUUACGCCUUUCUUGUAUUUAAAU